CAGCCGCCGCGGUAAUACCGGCGGCCCGAGUGGCGGUCACUAUUAUUGGGCUUAAAGCGUCCGUAGCCGGGGUGGGAAGUCCUCCGGGAAAUCUGGCCGCUUAACGGUCAGAAUGCCGGAGGAUACUCCCAGCCUAGGGAGCGGGAGAGGCCGAGGGGAUUCCCGGAGUAGGGGUGAAAUCCUAUAAUCCCGGGGGGACCACCUGUGGCGAAGGCGCUCGGCUGGAACGCGUCCGACGGUGAGGGACGAAGGCCAGGGGAGCAAACCGGAUUAGAUACCCGGGUAGUCCUGGCUGUAAACGAUGCGGACUUUGUGUCGGACAAGCUAUGAGCUUGUCCGGUGCCGGAGGGAAACCGUUAAGUCCGCCGCCUGGGGAGUACGGCCGCAAGGCUGAAACUUAAAGGAAUUGGCGGG
rnacentral:rRNA from 1 species